UGGGGAAUAUUGGACAAUGGGCGCAAGCCUGAUCCAGCCAUGCCGCGUGAGUGAUGAAGGCCCCUAGGGUUGUAAAGCUCUUUCAGCGAGGAGGAUAAUGACGUUACUCGCAGAAGAAGCCCCGGCUAACUUCGUGCCAGCAGCCGCGGUAAUACNAAGGGGGCUAGCGUUGUUCGGAAUCACUGGGCGUAAAGCGCACGUAGGCGGACUUUUAAAGUCAGGGGUGAAAUCCCGGGGCUCAACCUCGGAACUGCCUUUGAUACUGGAAAGUCUGGAGUCCGAGAGAGGUGAGUGGAACUCCGAGUGUAGAGGUGAAAUUCGUAGAUAUUCGGAAGAACACCAGUGGCGAAAGGCGGCUCACUGGCUCGGUACUGACGCUGAGGUGCGAAAAGCGUGGGGAGCAAAACAGGAUUAGAUACCCUGGUAGUCCACGCCGUAAACGAUGGAAGCUAGCCGUCAGGGUGCAUGCAUCUUGGUGGCGCAGUUAAACGCAUUUAAAGCUUCCCGCCUGGGGGAGUACGGUCGCAAGAUUAAAAACUCAAAUGAAUUGACGGGGGUCAUAGCUGUUUUCCCU
rnacentral:rRNA from 1 species